UACGAAGGGUGCUAGCGUUGUUCGGAAUUACUGGGCGUAAAGCGCGCGUAGGCGGCUUUUCAAGUCAGAGGUGAAAUCCCUGGGCUCAACCCAGGAACUGCCUUUGAAACUGUAAAGCUGGAGUGUCGGAGGGGAUAGCGGAAUUCCUAAUGUAGAGGUGAAAUUCGUAGAUAUUAGGAGGAACACCGGUGGCGAAGGCGGCUAUCUGGACGACAACUGACGCUGAGGCGCGAAAGCACGGGGAUCAAACAGG
rnacentral:rRNA from 1 species